UACGGGGGGGCAAGCGUUGUUCGGAAUUACUGGGCGUAAAGGGCUUGUAGGCGGCCAACUAAGUCCGACGUGAAAUCCCCAGGCUUAACCUGGGAACUGCGUCGGAUACUGGAUGGCUUGAAUUCGGGAGAGGGAUGCAGAAUUCCAGGUGUAGCGGUGAAAUGCGUAGAUAUCUGGAGGAAUACCGGUGGCGAAGGCGGCAUCCUGGACCGACAUUGACGCUGAGGAGCGAAAGCUAGGGGAGCAAACGGGG
rnacentral:rRNA from 1 species